ACCAAUCCACACGCGAAGCCUGAUCCCGUCUGAUCUCAAAAGCUAAGCAGGGUCGAGACUGGUGAGUGCUUGGAUGGGAAACCACCUAGGAAGAUCAGGUGU
rnacentral:rRNA from 1 species